GAUGAACGCUGGCGGCGUGCCUAAUACAUGCAAGUCGAGCGAACAGACGAGGAGCUUGCUCCUCUGACGUUAGCGGCGGACGGGUGAGUAACACGUGGAUAACCUACCUAUAAGACUGGGAUAACUUCGGGAAACCGGAGCUAAUACCGGAUAAUAUAUUGAACCGCAUGGUUCAAUAGUGAAAGACGGUUUUGCUGUCACUUAUAGAUGGAUCCGCGCCGCAUUAGCUAGUUGGUAAGGUAACGGCUUACCAAGGCAACGAUGCGUAGCCGACCUGAGAGGGUGCUCGGCCACACUGGAACUGAGACACGGUCUAGACUCCUACGGGAGGCAGCAGUAGGGAAUCUUCCGCAAAGGGCGAAAGCCUGACGGAGCAACGCCGCGUGAGUGAUGAAGGUCUUCGGAUCGUAAAACUCUGUUAUUAGGGAAGAACAAAUGUGUAAGUAACUAUGCACGUCUUGACGGUACCUAAUCAGAAAGCCACGGCUAACUACGU
rnacentral:rRNA from 1 species